UACGUAGGGGGCGAGCGUUGUCCGGAUUUAUUGGGCGUAAAGAGCGUGUAGGCGGCCAGGUAGGUCUGCUGUGAAAACUCGAGGCUCAACCUCGAGACGUCGGCGGAAACCAUCUGGCUAGAGUCCGGAAGAGGAGAGUGGAAUUCCCGGUGUAGCGGUGAAAUGCGCAGAUAUCGGGAAGAACACCCGUGGCGAAGGCGGCUCUCUGGGGCGGUACUGACGCUGAGACGCGAAAGCGUGGGGAGCGAACAGG
rnacentral:rRNA from 1 species